UACGUAGGUGGCAAGCGUUGUCCGGAUUUACUGGGCGUAAAGAGCGCGCAGGCGGUCAGAUAAGUCGAAUGUGAAAGCCCCCGGCUCAACUGGGGAGGGUCAUUCGAUACUGUUCGACUCGAAGGCAGGAGAGGGAAGUGGAAUUCCCGGUGUAGUGGUGAAAUGCGCAGAUAUCAGGAGGAACACCGGUGGCGAAGGCGGGACUCUGGGCCGAUACUGACGCUGAGGAGCGAAAGCGUGGGGAGCAAACAGG
rnacentral:rRNA from 1 species